CCUACGGGUGGCAGCAGUGGGGAAUAUUGCACAAUGGGGGAAACCCUGAUGCAGCGACGCCGCGUGAGUGAAGAAGCACCUCGGUACGUAAAGCCCUAUCAGCAGGGAAGAAAAUGACGGUACCUGACUAAGAAGCCCCGGCUAACUACGUGCCAGCAGCCGCGGUAAUACGUAGGGGGCAAGCGUUAUCCGGAUUUACUGGGUGUAAAGGGGGCGUAGACGGCAGUGCAAGUCAGGAGUGAAAUGCCGGGGCCCAACCCCGGGACUGCUCUGGAAACUGUGCAGCUCGAGUGCAGGAGAGGUAGGCGGAAUUCCUGGUGUAGCGGUGAAAUGCGUAGAUAUUAGGAGGAACACCGGUGGCGAAGGCGGCUUGCUGGACUGUAACUGACGUUGAGGCUCGAAAGCGUGGGGAGCAAACAGGAUUAGAUACCCGUGUAGUC
rnacentral:rRNA from 1 species